rnacentral:rRNA from 1 species
CAGCCGCCGCGGGAAUACGAAGGGUGCAAGCGUUACUCGGAAUUACUGGGCGUAAAGCGUGUGUAGGUGGUUGUUUAAGUCUGUCGUGAAAGCCCUAGGCUCAACCUGGGAAUUGCGAUGGAUACUGGGCGACUAGAGUGCGGUAGAGGAUAGUGGAAUUUCCGGUGUAGCAGUGAAAUGCGUAGAGAUCGGAAGGAACAUCUGUGGCGAAGGCGACUAUCUGGGCCAACACUGACACUGAGACACGAAAGCGCGGGGAGCAAACAGGAUUAGAUACCCGUGUAGUCCCUGUCUCUUAUAC